AACUUUCAACAACGGAUCUCUUGGUUCUCGCAUCGAUGAAGAACGCAGCGAAUUGCGAUAUGUAAUGUGAAUUGCAGAAUUCAGUGAAUCAUCGAAUCUCUGAACGCACCUUGCGCCCUUUGGUAUUCCGAAGGGCAUGCCUGUUUGAGUGUCAUUAAAUUCUCAACUUCAAAACUUUUUGUAUUGAAGCUUGGAUGUUGGAGGGUUUGCAGGCAUAUUAAUGUCAGCUCCUCUUAAAUGCAUUAGCAGAACUUGUUACGUUCGGCUCUGGUUUGAUAAUCCUAUCUAUGCCAUUGCUGAAAUGUCAUUGUUCAGCUUCUAAUGGUCCAUGUAUUUGGACUGUCUCCUUGGAGGCAUAUUUUUUGACUUGACCUCAAAUCAGGUAGGACUACCCGCUGAACUUAAGCAUAUCAAUAAGCGGAGGCU
rnacentral:misc_RNA from 1 species